CCAUUGUGGCAUUAUGUGAUCAAAAUUCAAAUGCUUGGUAACCGGAACGAGACAACUUGGUGCGGCCAUCUCACCCAGCUAGUCAUGGCCAACUCAGCCGACUUACUGUGGGACAACUCACUCUGGGACAAUUUAACAAUUCAGUUUUAAGCAUUUAAAAUAAUUUUAAAAAAUAGUUGUAAUUUUUGCCACUCACAUGUCAUUUUGUCCCUCCUUUUGCAUCCUUUCUUUAAUGAUUCUACUCCACCAUUUCUUCUAUAUUAGUGUAACUCUUGUCCUGAAGUAAGUUGGCCAUGGUAAGUUGUCCUUCAGGAUGUUGGGCAAGGCAAGUUGGGCGUGGCGAGUUGGCUGUGUUGAGUUGUCCUCACUGAGUUAUCUGUACUGAGUUGUCCAAGCCGAGUUGUCCUAGAUCAUUGGCAACUGACUCAUAAUUAUGAGGGUUGCAGGGAUCACGGGAUUACUUUUUGCGUUCUUCUGACCAGCAAAGUCAGAGUGGAAGCCAGAUUCAUUUAACAAUCCUAUUACUAAUCUAACAACUGCGGUGGUUCAUUCAACAGCUGUUGCAAGAAAGGUCGUAAAAUGGGACCAUAAAACUCAUUUAAUUGUCUUACUAUUCGACAGAGAUUUGGGGUUGUAAGUCAAGGACUACCUGUAUGAGAAAAAACACUCUUGAUAACAUAAACUCUUGCCAUAUAUCAAUGUCAGUUGUUUUUCUGAUUGCUGCAAUGGAUGGAUUAAAAUCAAAGAAGAAUAGCACUAGCAAUAGCUAUAAGACUUAUGUACCGCUUCAUAGUGCUUUACUGCC